GACGUAGGGGGCCAGCGUUGUUCGGAAUUACUGGGUGUAAAGGGUUCGUAGGCGGUGCGGCAAGUCGGGAGUGAAAUCUCUGGGCUCAACCCAGAGGCUGCUUCCGAAACUGCUGUGCUUGAGUGUGGGAGAGGCGCGUGGAAUUGCAGGUGUAGCGGUGAAAUGCGUAGAUAUCAGGAGGAACACCAAUGGCGAAGGCAGCACUCUGGGACGUGACUGACGCUGAGACGCGAAAGCGUGGGGAGCAAACAGG
rnacentral:rRNA from 1 species